rnacentral:tRNA from 1 species
CGCAAUGUAGCGCAGUGGUAGCGCGCCUGGUGCUCCACCAGGGACACCUGGGUUCGAUCCGCCCGGGCACUGUUG